rnacentral:rRNA from 1 species
CACGUAGUUAGCCGUGGCUUAUUCUUCGGGUACCGUCAUUUCUUCGUCCCCGACUAAAGAAGUUUACAAUCCGAAAAUCUUCAUCCUUCACGCGGCGUUGCUGCAUCAGGGUUUCCCCCAUUGUGCAAUAUUCCCCACUGCUGCCUCCCGUAGGAGUCUGGGCCGUGUCUCAGUCCCAAUGUGGCCGAUCAACCUCUCAGUUCGGCUACCGAUCGUCGCCUUGGUGGUCUUUUACACCGCCAACUAGCUAAUCGGACGCGGGCCCAUCUUCUACCGGAUUACUCCUUUGACAAUCGAUUGAUGCCAAUCAACUGUGUUAUGCGGUAUUAGCACAAGUUUCCCUGUGUUAUCCCCCUGUAGAAGGCAGGUUGCCCACGCGUUACUCACCCGUCCGCCGCUAAGAAACCAUUGCUGAUUUCUCCGCUCGACUUGCAUGUGUUAGGCACGCCGCCAGCGUUCGUCCUGAGCCAGGAUCAAACUCU